rnacentral:rRNA from 1 species
UACGGGAGCAGCAGUGGGGAAUAUUGCACAAUGGGCGAAAGCCUGAUGCAGCUAUGCCGCGUGUAUGAAGAAGGCCUUAGGGUUGUAAAGUACUUUCAUCGGGGAGGAAAAACAAAACUAAUAAUUUUAUUUCUUGACGUUACCCGAAAAAGAAGCACCGGCUAACUCCGUGCCAGCAGCCGCGGUAAUACGGAGGGUGCUAGCGUUAAUCAGAAUUACUGGGCGUAAAGAGCACGUAGGUGGUUUUUUAAGUCAGAUGUGAAAUCCCUGGGCUUAACCUAGGAACUGCAUUUUGAAACUGAAAUACUAGAGUAUCGUAGAGGGAGGUAGAAUUCUAGGUGUAGCGGUGAAAUGCGUAGAUAUCUGGAGGAAUACCUGUGGCGAAAGCGGCCUCCUAAACGAAUACUGACACUGAGGUGCGAAAGCGUGGGGAGCAAAACAGGGAUUAGAUACC